UACGUAGGGCGCAAGCGUUGUCCGGAAUUAUUGGGCGUAAGAGCUCGUAGGCGGUUUGUCACGUCGGCUGUGAAAACCCGAGGCUCAACCUCGGGCCUGCAGUCGAUACGGGCAGACUAGAGUGCUGUAGGGGAGACUGGAAUUCCUGGUGUAGCGGUGAAAUGCGCAGAUAUCAGGAGGAACACCGGUGGCGAAGGCGGGUCUCUGGACAGUUCCUGACGCUGAGGCACGAAGGCCAGGGGAGCAAACGGG
rnacentral:rRNA from 1 species